rnacentral:tRNA from 1 species
GUCCCCAUCGUCUAGCCUGGUCCAGGACAACAGCUUUUCAAGCUGUCGACAGGGGUUCAAAUCCCCUUGGGGACGCCA